rnacentral:lncRNA from 1 species
AGGACACGCACUCUCUUUCCAAUCACCAAGGAGAAAGAGGCUGAGGCCCAACAGAACAGCAUAGGUAAUAUGGUAGCCAAAGCUCUCUACUAGAGAAGCAGCUUUCUUUGCUGGACACCAUGGCUCAUGCUUGUAAUCCCAGAGUUUUGUGAGACCAAGGCAGAAGAACCCAGGAGUUGAGCCCAGGAGUUCAAGACCAGCCUGGGCAACAUAGUGAGACCCUAUCACUAUGAAAAUUUUUUAAAAAUUAGCCAGACACAGUGGCAGACACCUGUGUACACACAGCAGCACAUACCAGCUACUUGGGAGGCUGAGGCAGGAGGAUCGCUUGACUGAAACCCUGUCUCUAAAAAGAAAAAAGAGGGGAAAACAAGAGAAGCUGCUUCCAAUUAUCAAUCACAUCCAAACAUGGGCCAACCCAUGCCAUUUACCCACAAAACAAUGAAGGAUUGGAUACAGAACUGGCCUUCAAAGUGCAGAGUGAAAUGCAAGAGAGAAUCUGGUGUCAGGCAGAUCUUUCAAGGUCACCAGAUUCUUGAUAAUGCCAGAAACAAGGCCUACGACGUGACCAUGAUGAGAAUGAUGACCAGGCCCUGGGAUGGCCCUGGUGUGAGCAGAGUAAGCAGAGGUGAAACCUUGGAGCCCAAAAGGCCGGCAGAAGAAAGUGAUGAUUUAAGCUCACCAAGAGAGCAUUCAGGUCCUGGGGUAACUGAGGUGUGAAGGAAUACCAGCACUUUGGUAGCAAGAAGGGCCUGUGAUUUCUGCCUUUUGGCAAAAAGCAGACACGAGAAUUUGCAGAUCACACAGAUUAGUGGAACAAGACUAAGUUGACCACUUCCUCAAUGGAUAUAGGGAAGGGAUGACCAGGCUAUGAAAGACUUGGAACCCAGCUCUCAUUCCUGACCAAGAUUUCUCAUCAAGGUGAGCAGAAAUUAAAGGGAAAGGAG